GGCAGCGCGGGGCGGCAACGUCCUGGCGGCGACCGGCGGAAGGGUGCGUAACGCGUGAGCGACAUGCCCGUUGCCCGGGGACAACCGGUGGAAACGCCGACUAAUCCCCGAUGGGACGGAGGCCCUCAUGGGUCUCUGUUGAAAGUUACGGCGGCGACGGAUUGGCUCGCGUCCGAUUAGCUUGUUGGCGGGGUAACGGCCCACCAAGGCUACGAUCGGUAGGGGUUCUGAGAGGAAGGUCCCCCACAAUGGAACUGAGACACGGUCCAUACUCCUACGGGAGGCAGCAGUGAGGAAUAUUGGUCAAUGGGCGGAAGCCUGAACCAGCCAUGCCGCGUGCGGGAAGGAGGCCCUAUGGGCUGUGAACCGCUUUUGCCUGGGGGCAAUAAGGGCGUCGUGCACGUCCGAUGAGAGUACCAGGCGAAUAAGCAUCGGCUAACUCCGUGCCAGCAGCCGCGGUAAUACGGGGGAUGCGAGCGUUAUCCGGAUUCAUUGGGUUUAAAGGGUGCGUAGGCUGUGCGUCAAGUCAGGGGUGAAAUUCCGGGGCUCAACUCCGGGGCUGCCCUUGAUACUGUCGCGCUGGAGUGCGGAUGCCGCCGGAGGAAUGAGUGGUGUAGCGGUGAAAUGCUUAGAUAUCACUCAGAACACCGAUUGCGAAGGCAUCUGGCGAAUCCGUAACUGACGCUGAGGCACGAAAGCGUGGGGAUAGAACAGGAUUAGAUACCCUGGUAUUCCACGCCGUAAACGAUGAUGGCUAACCGCCGGCGACACACUGUCGGUGGCCAAGCGAAAGCGAUAAGCCAUCCACCUGGGGAGUACGUCGGCAACGAUGCAACUCAAAGGAAUUGACGG
rnacentral:rRNA from 1 species